UAGAAGUUGAAGUCCUAAGGUCAGAGAACAAUUCCUUCAAUAGCAUCUUGGUCUAAUUCAACUCAGAAGCUAUCCAAAAUUCGCGGCAAAGACAGCCAAAUUUCUGAAAAUCGAUAAAAUAGGCUGAAAUGUUCCAAGUCCGGAAAUUCUAGUAUUUGGCAAACUUUGGCAUGAUUUAUCUCCAAAUCCGUUCAAAAUCUGGGCAAACACCCUUAGUAAAGUUUGAACUUGGACCAUAGGGCUACAAGUUUGAUAAAGGGACAUUCAAACGUUUAGUUUGAAAAUUUUGAAUAAACUACCCCCAAAGUCGGCUGUGUC
rnacentral:lncRNA from 1 species